AUGGGCGCCAGGGAAAAAAUACCAUCAUCGUCACAUGAACUACGCAGUGACAAGAAGAGGAGACUGAGAUCUGAUGUAGUAUCAGAUGACUCAGAGGAUGAAUGCACCAAGACAAGUUUGUCAGAACGAAAGGAAAAAAAAUGUCCGUGGAAACAAGAAAUCUUUUGUAGCAAUAGUAAAAAAACACAAGGCUUGAAGAUGAUGAUGAAGUAUGGGAAGCAAAGCCUAGGAGAACGAGAAAGUUAUCUAGAAAAUUGGGGAUCUUAUCAAAUAGAUAUUGAGGCAACCUAUUUGUAUUACCAAGUUAUACAAAAAGGAUAG
rnacentral:rRNA from 1 species